UUUAAAUGGCCGCAGUAUACUAACUGUGCAAAGGUAGCAUAAUCAUUAGUCUUUUAAUUGAAGGCUGGUAUGAAUGGUUGGACGAGAUAUUAACUGUUUCAUAAAAAUUUAUAUUAGAAUUUUAUUUUUUAGUCAAAAAGCUAAAAUAAAAUUAAAAGACGAGAAGACCCUAUAAAUCUUUAUAUUUAUUUUAUUAUAAUUUUAUAGAUUUUUUUUAUUAUAAUAAUUAAUGAUAUUUUAUUGGGGUGAUAUUAAAAUUUAAUAAACUUUUAAUUAUUAAGAUCAUUAAUUUAUGAAUAAUUGAUCCGUUAUUAACGAUUAAAAAAAUAAGUUACUUUAGGGAUAACAGCGUAAUUUUUUUGGAGAGUUCAUAUCGAUAAAAAAGAUUGCGACCUCGAUGUUGGAUUAAGAUAUAAAUUUAGGUGUAGCCGUUUAAAUUUUAAGUCUGUUCGACUUUUAA
rnacentral:rRNA from 1 species